UACGGGGGGGGUAAGCGUUGUUCGGAAUUACUGGGCGUAAAGGGCUCGUAGGCGGCCAACUAAGUCAGACGUGAAAUCCCUCAGCUUAACUGGGGAACUGCGUCUGAUACUGGAUGGCUUGGAUUUGGGAGAGGGAUGCGGAAUUCCAGGUGUAGCGGUGAAAUGCGUAGAUAUCUGGAGGAACACCGGUGGCGAAGGCGGCAUCCUGGACCAAUAUUGACGCUGAGGAGCGAAAGCCAGGGGGAGCAAACGGG
rnacentral:rRNA from 1 species